rnacentral:lncRNA from 1 species
CCAUUCUUAUUUUCCCAAAACUUACAAGGUAUAUCAAUAAAUCAAUCGAAUAGAAUGGUGAUCGAUCUUGAAGAGAAACCCUGUAUGCUCCUCUCUCUCUCUCUCUCUCUCUCUCUCUCUCUCUCUCUUUCUCUCUCUCUCUCUCUGGUUCCCUUAAAAAGAAUUGAUUUCACACAAAGAAGCAGACAAAGACACGUAGCACCCAGGGACACAUGGGUAGCAUAAGUUUUUGGUCCAAUGAUGUAGUGGCGGAUGGAAAUCGGACCAAUAAGAGGAACUCAUAAUCGGGAACAUACCCAACGAUCCUACUUGGGAAAGCAGCAGCGGGAAGCGCAUCAAGCUGUAGUUGAUACUUGACAAACCAGCCAGAAUGAUCGCUCAACAUCUCAUACACAUUCAGGCUUAACAUACCUCCUUGGAAAUUCUUGUAUGCAAUUAAAUGUAGAUGACCUCUGGAUUCUCCCAUGUACUUUCUCAUCACUUCAGAAUCAGAAGGGAUCAAGCCAAGAGGCAAGGGUAACGUGUGCAGCUGUUGAUCAUCUAUUUUGAAGUGCCAGUAAUUUCUAUUGUCAAAUAAAGAAGCCCAAUAAACAGCUCCAUUCCAGUAAACCCCGUCGCGGUUGAUGGGUACAGAGGCAGGGAAAGAUUCGAUAGAUAUCUUCCAUUCGUUUGUGUCAGACGAGUAGACUUGAAUCUGAUACGAAUCGACCUCAGGCCCAACAGAAAGAACACAGAUAACUUUGUAGCGAACACAAUCUGUUUGAUGAAAUGCCAGACCCAUAAACCAUAUAGUGCUACGAUCUCUGGGAACGGGUGGGAUGAGUGCCAACUGCUUGGUGGUGGGAUUAAAUACACAAUAUUUACUAGCACCAUUGCGGUCUUUGGGCCGGGUAACGCAAAGUAGUAACCCAUUACAAGAUUGCACGAUUUCAACACCCGGGUGAUCAAAGUAGGAAUCAAGACAGCGAAAAGGUGGAGUGCUUGGGUUUUCAACAUCAAAGGGAACAUAUAUAUCGGUAGCAAUAAGACCUGUAGGAGAUUUUGAAAUCUUAUCAUACCUUUGGGUGAAAUGUUUCUGACUCAAAAGCAAACGCCAGUGUUUGGAUACGGAUUUGAAACGAAGGAUAGAGGCAGCAGGGAGGCGGAGAAGAAUCUCGGUUAAAAGCUCAUCGUUGAAACGAGAGAUAGAGGCAUGAAGCAUCUUCUUGGUUUGGGCUCUGGAAUGUAUCUUCUUCUUCUUCGCCUCUAACCACAUCGAUGACUUGGAACUCGUAACCGGGACCGUACCUAAUGAUCCUAUUUGGGAAAGCAGCAGCGGGAAUCACAUCAAGCUGUAGUUGAUACUUGACAAACCAGCCAGAAUGAUCGCUCAAAAUCUCAUACACAUUCAGGUGUAACAUAUCUCCUUGGAAUUUCUUGGAUGCAAUUAAAUGUAGAUGACCUCUGGAUUCUCCCAAGUAAUUUGUCAUCACUUCAGAAGGGAUCAAGCCAAGAGGCAAGGGUAACUUGUGCAGCUGUUGAUCAUCUAUUUUGAAGUACCAGUAAUUUAUUUCUUCAAAAAAAGAAGCCCAAUAAAUAGCUCCAUUCAAGUAAACCCCGCGGCGGAUGAAGUAUAUAGACGCAGAGAAAGAUUCGAUAGAUAUCUUCCAUUCGUUUGUGUCAGACGAGUAGACUUGAAUCUGAUAUGAACCCACAUCAGGCCCAACAGAAAGAACACAGAUAACUUUGUAGCGAACACAAUCUGUUUGAUGAAAUGCCAGACUCAUAAGCCAUAUAGCGCUACGAUCUCUGGGAACGGGUGGGAUGAGUGCCAACUGCUUGGUGGUGGGAUUAAAUACAUAAUAUUUACUAGCACCAUUGCGGUCUUUGGGCCGGGUAACGCAAAGUAGUAACCCAUUACAAGAUUGCACGAUUUCAACACCCGGGUGAUCAAAGUAGGAAUCAAGACAGCGAAAAGGUGGAGUGCUUGGGUUUUCAACAUCAAAGGGAACAUAUUUAUCGAUAGCAAUAAGACCUGUAGGAGGUUUUGAAAUGUGAUCAUACCUUCGGGUGAAAUGUUUCUGACUCAAAAGCAAACGCCAGUGUUUGGACACGGAUUUGAAACGAAAGAUAGAGACAGCAGGGAGGCGUAGAAGAAUCUCGGUUAAAAGGUCAUCGUUGAAACGAGAGAUAGAGGCAUGAAGCAUCUUCUUGGUUUGGGCUCUGGUUUGUGUCGUCACUAGAUCCAUCUGCUUUUCUGGCUGCCAUACAAGCCGGAGAUCUAAUGGUGUCUCCUCAACUUUCACUUAACUCUUUGACAUCUCCACGCCGUGCACACCGGCCCGCCAACGGCCUGGAGUUGGAGGCGAUGAGUUUUCCACUGGCAUGGAGGCAUUUUGAACGUUGACGUGACGUGUUUUGAAAGUUGAUGUUGACACACAACAGGAUGGAAAGGUAAAGUGCGGGUGUCUGAGUGAAAUGAUAUGAAGAUAAGGGAGGUGACCAAGUGUCUUUAAAAGAUUGAGAUGUGAAAAGACCAUCCUAGCCCUCACACCAACGGUCAAGUAACGUUUGACGAACGGAUUGGUAUCAAACUGCAAUGAAAUGCAGGCACGGGAAGCCAUAGUGCAAAAGGUGGAAGAUAGGGUGUCAGAGUGUAAGCCACGUGUAAGCCACAUGAUGGCAAAUUACAAUUUACUCUUCAGUUAUUGCUUUCGGUUUACUUAUUUUAUGUUCUUAGUUUUAUAUUUUGAAGUCUCAUGCUUUUCUUUGAACUAGUCAUUGACAAAGACUUACUUG